CCACAUUAUGGUUAUUAAGGAAUAUAACGAAAACUCUUGGGGAAUAUUUAUCUGCUAUACCAUCAAGGACCACUUUUCUUUUUCUUAGCGCAGCUGGGCCAUCUUGCAAAUGAUCACGAGGACAAGAACUUUGUCGGCUGACAGAAAAACAACUCAAAUAAAGAACUUCGAUAAAAGAAAGACACGAGUUUGAAGACCGGGAGUUUCAAAUAUACUCUAAUGAUAACGACAUUUUCCUUGGUACUCUGAUCUAUUCGUGGAGCCUCACCUUCAAAAAGGGGAAAAAAGGGGAUACAUUCAGAUCUACAAAAGACUUAAGAGUCCAGUAAUUUUAGCCACGCAGGUAUCGUACUGUAAGCUCAUAUGGCAUCAUGUGGACAAUUACAUCUGCGGCGAGUGUGCUUGGGGAGACGCAUCUUCACUUCAUAUGCUUGAAAAACGACAUGGAAACCUUAACUUUGCCCUCAACAUCGAGCUCCGAUGAUAUGCUUAAAUCAGAUGCAUCGACCUCCAGACUGCACGGAUCAUAAUGUCAAGA